GCCAAAAAGCUAGCCUGAACACAAUUAUAAUUAAAAAAUAUAAAUAAACAUACCACAACCACAUAUUAAAACAUUUUACCACCCAAGUAUAGGUGAUAGAAAAG
rnacentral:rRNA from 1 species